rnacentral:rRNA from 1 species
GACGAACGCUGGCGGCGUGCCUAAUACAUGCAAGUAGAACGCACAGUUUAUACCGUAGCUUGCUACACCAUAGACUGUGAGUUGCGAACGGGUGAGUAACGCGUAGGUAACCUGCCUGGUAGCGGGGGAUAACUAUUGGAAACGAUAGCUAAUACCGCAUAAUAUUGAUUAUUGCAUGAUAAUUGAUUGAAAGAUGCUAUUGCAUCACUACCAGAUGGACCUGCGUUGUAUUAGCUAGUAGGUGAGGUAACGGCUCACCUAGGCGACGAUACAUAGCCGACCUGAGAGGGUGAUCGGCCACACUGGGACUGAGACACGGCCCAGACUCCUACGGGAGGCAGCAGUAGGGAAUCUUCGGCAAUGGACGAAAGUCUGACCGAGCAACGCCGCGUGAGUGAAGAAGGGUGUCGGAUCGUAAAGCUCUGUUGUAAGAGAAGAACGGGUGUGAGAGUGGAAAGUUCACACUGUGACGGUAGCUUACCAGAAAGGGACGGCUAACUACGUG